AGGGAGCCGCCUCUCAGGGAGCACUGCCCUUUACAAGAGAGGCGCGGCUGGCUUAAAGGUGAGGGAAACGGAAGAGACUAGAACAAUGGACUCCUCAGCCACGUCACUCUGACGGCCUGCCUGGCUCCGCCCCUCUCUCCCUAUUGGUUGAACCCACCCAGGAACCUCCCGCGGGAACUGGAUGGGAUCCCACAGGUGAGGCCCCCAGGAUGCGAGUCAGUGCAGACAGGCAGAUCGCAGGUCUGGAGGGCAGGACAGAGGAUACGUGUCACUGAGGGGGAACACCGUACUGCGAAGGCAUUGAAGGCUGGCUGGUGCCAUUUUGUCUACUCUGGAGAACUGUGUGUUGGGAUAUGGUUCUGAAGGCAGUGGGACCGUGCAGAGUUCUUGAGCAGAAGGGACACAGUGAGGGAAUAAAAUCUACACUGGGAUGGAGACCGUCUGGGCCAGACCUCAGGCUCCCUGCCUUUCCGGUGUUACACACUUUCUUUUGAGGCAGCUACAGCAACUCUUAGGACCUUCGCUCCCACCCCUAAGGGCAGCAGCUCCUGUCUUCAGUUUGUAGUGGAAUUCCCCAAGAAAACUCUUUUUUUCUGGGAUUGCCCCCCUCUCUCCUUUCUUACCUGUUUUAAAAUCUUGCAGUUUUUAAAGUCUGCCCUGAUAACUGUAACCUGGUUGGCUUCGAACUUUCUAGAAAGAAAGCUGGAUCUGAAGCAGCUCCCUGAACCACAGUCUCACAGCUGUGAUAGAGCCAAGUCACCAAACCCCUUUUCCGAAGGAAAGGGAACGUGCCUCAUGACAGCCUGACGCAGAUCCCCUCUGACAGACACACGAGGUAAUGACUCCAAAUGAGCACCUUCCCACGGACAACUGGAAAAGAGACUUCGCAUUGUUCUUCAGCCUGUGUUUGCUGGAGAAAUGACUGCGUUGGUUGUUCUGCACAUUUCCUCUCUGAACAAUGCCUUUAUUGAAUCAAUUUAAAUAUUCUAGGAAGGAAGCGCUUUGUGACAGAAGCAACCUGAUGCCUGAAUGUGGGCUUGAAACAUGAAGGUGACCCUGGAAGUCAGUCUUUAGGGCUGUUUCUUUACCCUCUGAUGGCUGUGUGUAUGUCUGCCUUGCCACAAAGGACUUGACCCUGUCUUUUCCCCAUCAUUUUUGGGUGGAGAUAGACUGUGGGGGAAGUGGCAAUGGAAACCAACAACAGGGACCUCAGGGAACUGAUGGAUUUGCUCUGUCCCUUUGUGAGGGGGGCUUUGAAGAAGAUGUCAGUCUCGAGAUUGCUUGAGAUGAGGUCAGUUGGGAAGUUUCAGUUCUUCCUCCUUCCAGGUGCUAAUUCCAGGCCUCUACACCCCAAAGCAGGGGUGCUACUGCUUCCUCCGAAAAACAAUUGAACGCUCCGCGCUGAUGGGCUGUUUAUCUUCGCCACCACAACAGCGGCAGCCUCAGCAGCUGAGGAAGCGGCAAGCCGUUUUCUGCUUCGGCUCCUGCCGAGAGGGCAGAAUUAAGACAAACACUUUCAUUCUUGGCUGCCAAAGCGUUUUAGCUUCUGAAAAGCAAGGCAGGUAAAACGCCAUCACCCCGUAAGGAAAUAAAUAAAUAAAGCCCUGGUGAUGAGA